rnacentral:rRNA from 1 species
CAGCAGCCGCGGUAAUACCGGCGGCCCGAGUGGCGGUCACUAUUAUUGGGCUUAAAGCGUCCGUAGCCGGGUUGGGAAGUCCUCCGGGAAAUCUGGCCGCUUAACGGUCAGAAUGCCGGAGGAUACUCCCAGCCUAGGGAGCGGGAGAGGCCGAGGGUAUUCCCGGAGUAGGGGGGAAAUCCUAUAAUCCCGGGAGGACCACCUGGGGCGAAGGCGCUCGGCUGGAACGCGUCCGACGGGGAGGGACGAAGGCCAGGGGAGCAAACCGGAUUAGAUACCCGGGUAGUCCUGGCUGUAAACGAUGCGGACUUUGUGUCGGACAAGCUAUGAGCUUGUCCGGUGCCGGAGGGAAACCGUUAAGUCCGCCGCCUGGGGAGUACGGCCGCAAGGCUGAAACUUAAAGGAAUUGGCGGG